AUGAACGCUGGCGGCGUGCCUAAUCCCUGCCAGUCGAGCGAACAGACGAGGAGCUUGCUCCUCUGACGUUAGCGGCGGACGGGUGAGUAACACGUGGAUAACCUACCUAUAAGACUGGGAUAACUUCGGGAAACCGGAGCUAAUACCGGAUAAUAUAUUGAACCGCAUGGUUCAAUAGUGAAAGACGGUUUUGCUGUCACUUAUAGAUGGAUCCGCGCCGCAUUAGCUAGUUGGUAAGGUAACGGCUUACCAAGGCAACGAUGCGUAGCCGACCUGAGAGGGUGAUCGGCCACACUGGAACUGAGACACGGUCCAGACUCCUACGGGAGGCAGCAGUAGGGAAUCUUCCGCAAUGGGCGAAAGCCUGACGGAGCACCGCCGCGUGAGUGAUGAAGGUCUUCGGAUCGUAAAACUCUGUUAUUAGGGAAGAACAAAUGUGUAAGUAACUAUGCACGUCUUGACGGUACCUAAUCAGAAAGCCACGGCUAACUACGUG
rnacentral:rRNA from 1 species